rnacentral:misc_RNA from 1 species
UUGAGAUUCUGCUGGAAUUCCCACUGGUCAAUAGAUUGGCUCAGAGCCUUGAUUUUUUUUUCCACAUUCCCAAACAUGUUAACAUUCCAAAUCUUGAGAUGCUGUUUCAGCAUUUUCAUCUUUUUAAGGUUAGAGGCAUAGAAGAAACUGAAACCUUAUCUCAAAAAGAUUUUAGAGUGUUUGCAAAACCUGGGUAACUCCACUAUGCAUCAAGAAA